rnacentral:tRNA from 1 species
GGAGAGGUGGUCGAGCGGCUUAAGGCACUGGUCUUGAAAACCAGCGAUGGGGGGACUCAUCCGUGGGUUCAAAUCCCACCCUCUCCGCCA